UGAGGGUGCAUUGCAGUUGCAUUGCACGUUUAUUUAAAAUCCAUGCAAUGUGACAGCAACGCAACGCUUA
rnacentral:pre_miRNA from 1 species